rnacentral:rRNA from 1 species
UACGUAGGGUGCGAGCGUUAAUCGGAAUUACUGGGCGUAAAGCGUGCGCAGGCGGUUCGUCGUGUCCGAUGUGAAAGCCCCGGGCUCAACCUGGGAAUGGCAUUGGAAACUGGCGGACCCGAGUGUGGCAGAGGGGGGUGGAAUUCCGCGUGUAGCAGUGAAAUGCGUAGAGAUGCGGAGGAACACCGAUGGCGAAGGCAGCCCCCUGGGUUAACACUGACGCUCAGGCACGAAAGCGUGGGGAGCAAACAGG